rnacentral:rRNA from 1 species
ACAGCCACACUGGGACUGAGACACGGCCCAGACUCCUACGGGAGGCAGCAGUAGGGAAUUUUCGGCAAUGGACGCAAGUCUGACCGAGCAAUGCCGCGUGAACGAUGAAGGUCUUCGGAUUGUAAAGUUCUGUUGUUAGGGAAGAAAAAAUGACGGUACCUAACUAGAAAGUCCCGGCUAACUAUGUGCCAGCAUCCGCGGUAAUACAUAGGGGACAAGCGUUAUCCGGAAUUAUUGGGCGUAAAGAGUGCGUAGGCGGUUUAUUAAGUCUGGUGUGAAAUUUCAUGGCUUAACCAUGAAGGGUCAUUGGAACUGGUAAACUUGAGUACGGUAGAGGUAAGUGGAAUUCCAAGUGGAGCAGUGGAAUGCGUAGAUAUUUGGGAGGAACACCCAUGGCGAAGGCAGCUUACUGGGCCGGAACUGACGCUGAUUGCACGAAAGCGUGGGGAGCAAACGGAUUAUAUACCCCUGGUAUCCCACGCCGUAAAACGAUGAUUAUUAAGUGUCGGGUGAUAACUCGGUGCUGUAGUUAAACAAUAAAUACUCCGCCCUGGGGAGUACGGUCGCAAGACUGACACUCAAUGGAAUUGACGGGACUCGCA